GAUGAACGCUGGCGGCGUGCCUAAUACAUGCAAGUCGAGCGAACAGACGAGGAGCUUGCUCCUCUGACGUUAGCGGCGGACGGGUGAGUAACACGUGGAUAACCUACCUAUAAGACCGGGAUAACUUCGGGAAACUGGAGCUAAUACCGGAUAAUAUAUUGAACCGCAUGGUUCAAUAGUGAAAGACGGUUUUGCUGUCACUUAUAGAUGGAUCCGCGCCGCAUUAGCUAGUUGGUAAGGUAACGGCUUACCAAGGCGACGAUGCGUAGCCGACCUGAGAGGGUGAUCGGCCACACUGGAACUGAGACACGGUCCAGACUCCUACGGGAGGCAGCAGUGGGGAAUCUUCCGCAAUGGGCGAAAGCCUGACGGAGCAACGCCGCGUGAGUGAUGAAGGUCUUCGGAUCGUAAAACUCUGUUAUUAGGGAAGAACAAAUGUGUAAGUAACUAUGCACGUCUUGACGGUACCUAAUCAGAAAGCCACGGCUAACUACGUG
rnacentral:rRNA from 1 species